rnacentral:rRNA from 1 species
ACACGUAGGGGGCAAGCGUUGUCCGGAUUUAUUGGGCGUAAAGAGCUCGUAGGUGGCUGAGUAAGUCGGAUGUUAAAUCUCCAGGCUCCACCUGGAACACCAUCCGAUACUGCUCUGGCUAGAGUCCGGUAGGGGAGUGUGGAAUUCCUGGUGUAGCGGUGAAAUGCGCAGAUAUCAGGAGGAACACCAGCGGCAAAGGCGGCACUCUGGGCCGGUACUGACACUGAGGAGCGAAAGCAUGGGUAGCAAACAGGAUUAGAAACCCUAGUAGUCC